CUUUGAAAACCACACUUUUAGCAGCUUUACAAAACACGACAAACGUGAGUCAUUUAAACUCGAUCGUGAGUUAUAUUAUUAAAACUGAACGNNNNNNNNNNNNNNNNNNNNAANAAAAAAAAAAAAACCAAAAUGAUGUCGUUUUGAAUGGUUGACCGGGUUGACUUCGGUUUCCGGUCCGGUUCGGUUUCUACAAAGCUGAAACUGAAAACCAAACCGAACAGAUCUGGUUCGGCUCGGUUUUUUUUCGGCCCGGUUUUUACGGUUUCGGCUCGGUUUUCGACUCGGUUUUUUUCGGUUUUUGGCUCGGAAGUGCCAACCCUAAUGCGGGUCAAGGCGGCCGCUUGGCUACCCUAGGUGAGCCUAGGAGGGCCUAAGAGGGUCAAGGCGUGUAAUUGCGAGCCUAGGAGGGCCUAUGAGAGUCAAGGCGGCCCUAAGCGGGUCUACAGGGGUCAAGGCGGCCCUAGCGGGGUCAAUGCGACCUCUUGGCGGCCCUAGAAGGGUCAAGACGGCCCAAGGCAGGUCAAAGCGGCCGCUUGGCUGCCCUAGGCAGAUCAAGGCGGCCCCUUGGCGACCCUAGGUGGGUUAAGGAGGCCCUUUGGCUACCCUGGGAGGGACUUGAAGGGUCAAGGCGUGUAAAGGCGGCCCUACACAGGCCUAAAAGGGUCAUGGCGAGUCAUGGCGAGUCAUGGCGGCCCUUUGAAGGCCCUAGGCAAGCCUAGGACGGCCUAGUAGGGUCAAGGUGGCCCUAGGUAGGUCAAGGAAGGUGAAAGAAGCCCCUUGGCGGGUAAAGGGCGCCCCUUGACGACCUUAGACGGGUGAACGUGACCCCUUGGCGGCCCUAGCGGAGUCAAGGCGGCUCCUUGGUGACCCUAGGAGGGUCAAAGCGGCCCAAGGCGGGUCGAGGCGGGCCAUGGCUGGUCAAGGUGGGCCAAUGCAGGUCAAAGCGGGCCAAGGCAGGUCAAGGCGGUCCUACACGGGCCUAGGAGGGUCAUGGCGACCCCUUGGCUAGUGAUUGCGGCACCUUGGUGGCCCUAGGCGAGGCAAAGAGGGCCUAGGAGGGUCAAGGCAGCCCCUUGGCAGCCUUAGAAGGGUGAACGCUGCCUCUUGGUGGUUCUAGCGAGGUCAAGGCGGCCCUUUGGUGGUCCUAGACGGGUUAAGGCAGCCCCUUAGCGGCCUUAGGUGGGUGAACGCGACCCCUUGGCGGGCCUAGGAGGGUCAAGACGGCUUUAGACGGGUGAAUGCGUCCCCUUGGCGGCCCUAAUGGGGUCAAAGCGGCCUCUUGGCGGCCCUAGGAGGGUCAAACCGGCCCCUUGGCGAGUCGAGGCUGCCCCUUGACGACCUUAGACGGGUGAAUGUGGCCCCUUGGCAGCUAUAGCGGAGUCAAGGCGACUCCUAGGUGGCCCUAAGAGGGUUAAAGCAGCCCAAGGCGGGUCCAGACGAUCCAAGGCGGCCCAAAGCGGGUCAAGGUGGCCCGAGGAGGGUCAAGGCGGCCCAAGGCGGGUCAAGGAGGCCCAUGGCGGGUGUCACGGCCCUUUAAUACACAGCGGAAUUUUUCUCUCUUUUUCUGUUUGACACUCUUUUCUUUUGAUAGGAAUCGUGAUGGCGUCUUGCUACCUUGAUAGAUAACAAGACCAGCCGAACUUGACACACCCUCAGAGUAAGGUGCUUCGACACUUAAAGUGUAUAUCCCUCUCACUUUGGUGGAAACUCAAGCUUUUCUUUUGUCUUUCAAACACACGCAAAGUACGGGAAAACCCAACCUAUUAACUCACACUUAACAAAGGACUUUGGCUAGUGCAACUCAACAAACUCCGAACUUGGAAGCUUCGUUUGAGUGUUACUUGACGACUACUUAUUUAUAGAGCAGUAUACUCUUGCGGUUGACAUCCCCAACUGACUUAGGAUAAUAGUAAAUAACUACCCACUACUUAGUUUAUCCAAAGUGGGAAGUUACACAAAGUAACUUCCCAUGAUCCCCACUAAUAGAUCAUGGUUGCAACACUUAGUAACCGCCAUUGCCCACUACUUGGUAACCACCUUUUGGAUAGGCCUUGGUAACUUCCACAUAACCGCCUGCAUUGCACACUUGGCUGCCUUGUCACCGCGCCCGCGUGUGCACUUGCAUACACAAUUCUGCCCUUGACGAGCUUGCAACCCACUGAACCCUUGGGUGCAUAUGAGGUUUGACCCUUAGGUGUAUGAAGGUGCUCAACCCUGCCGGACCCUCUGCUGAACCCUCUGUCGGACCCUGCUGAACCCUGAGGUGCAUGCAUGAUGCGUACACCCAACUUAGCCCUACUGCGCAUCCUGCCGAGCCCUGGAGUGCCUAUUUGCCACACACCCUGCUGGACCCGUAGGUGCUAAUGAGGUGUGCACCCUGCCGAGCCUUGGGGUGCCUAAUUGCCACACACCCUGCAGACCCAUAGUCGUGCACCCAGCUGGGACACUUGGUGCUUGCCUCCGAACCCUUGUCGCCUCCACCUUGCUUCUUGGCAACCUUUGCUGCCCAUUCAUCUGACUAAGUGUGGUGCAAGACUAACCAACACUUAGUGGAUUUUCCUUGUCAAUUUCAAGGGUGUGACAGCGGGCCAAGGCUGGUUAAGGCGGCCCCUUGGCGGGCUUAGAUGGGUUAAGGCAGCAUCUUGGCGGCCCUAGGAGGGUCAAGGCAGGUCAAGGCGGCCCAAAAAGGUCAAGGCGGGUUAAGGCGGCCCCUUGGAAGGUCUAGGAGGGUCAAGGAAGGUAAAGGCUGUCCAAGAAGGGUUAAGGCGGCCCUUGGCUGGUUAAGGAGGCCUAUGGCGGGCCAAGGCGAGUCAAGACCGCCCCUUGGCGGCCCUAGAUAGGUUAAGGCGGCCUUUUGGCGGCCCUCAGAGGGUCAUGACUGGUCAAGGCGGCCCAUGGCGGGUCAAGGCGGCCCAUUGGCAGGCCUAGAUGGGUUAAGGAGCGGCCUCUUGGCGGCCCUAAGAGGAUUAAGGCGGCCCAAGGAGGUUAAGGCGGGUCAAGGCGGCCCUAGGAGAGUCAAGGCGGGUCAAGGCGGGUUAAGGCAGCCCAAGGAGGGCAAAUGCGGCCCCUUGGCGGCCCUAGACGGGUAAAGGCGCCCAAGAUGGGUAAAGACGGCCCUAAGCAGGUUAAGGCGGCUCCUUGGAGGGUCUAGGAGGUCUAAGGAGGGUUAAAGCUGGACUAGGCGGUCCAAGGCGGCCUAUAGCGGGUCAAGGCGGCCCUAGAUGGGUUAAGGCGACCUCUUGGCACUCGUAGGAGGGUCAAGGCAGCCAAGACGGGUCAAGGUGGCCCUAGGAAGGUCAAGGAGGCCCAAGGCGGGUUCUGGUAGUCCAAGGCGGCCCUAAAUGGGUUAAGGUGGCCUCUUGGCUGCAUUAUGAGGGUCAAUGUGGCCCUAAAUGGGUUAAGGUGGCCACUUGGCGUCCCUAUGAGGGUCAAGGUGUCCCCUUGCCUAGGAGUGUCAAGGUAGCCCUAGGCGGGUCAAGGCGGCCCAAGACGGGUUAAGGCGGGUCAAGGCGGCCCCUUGGACGGUCAAGGGNNNNNNNNNNNNNNNNNNNNUUAACGGUUUAAAAAAAUUUUUAAAGGUAAGUUACCCGGUACGGGUCUAUUAAGAAGAAAUAAAACUAAAGAACAAAAAAAAAGCUCAGAAGCUCGCUCAAUACCUUUGAAAACCACACUUUUAGCAGCUUUACAAAACACGACAAACGUGAGUCAUUUAAACUCGAUCGUGAGUUAUAUUAUUAAAUGAACGAAUUUUUGAUGCUAGAAUGGUUCACAAUAUGUUAGGAAGCGUCUAUAAGGACAGCGGAAUUCAAAAAAUCACAUGUAAAAAAAAGUGAAAUUUUCCAAAAACCUUUGUGCUAUAGCAAGGGGUUUUGGCUCAAAUCGGGCGAAACUUGAAAGAAUGAGUAAUACAUAACUGUUUUUGAAAAUAUAGAUUCUCGAGGUCAUUAAGAGAAUAAACUAAUACAAAAAAAGCUUAGAAGCUAACUCAAUACUUUUGAAAACAACAAUUUCAGCUGCUUUCCGAAACAUGACACACGUUACUAAUUUAAGCUCGAUCGUGAGUAAAAUUAUUAAAGGAACGGAUUUUUGAUGCUAGAAUAAUUCACAAUAUGUUAGGAAGCAUCUACAAGGAUACAGGAAUUCAAAAAAACACAUGUCAAAAAAAGUGAAAUUUUCCAAAAACCUGUGUGCUAUGCAAGAGGUUUCGGCUCAAAUCAGGCGAAACUUGAAAGAAUGAGUAAUAUGUAACUGUUUUUGAAAAUUUAGGUUCCCGAAGUUAUUCAGAGAAUAAACUAAGACAAAAACAGCUUGGAAGCUCACUCAAUACCUUUGAAAACAACACUUUCAGCAAAUUUACAAAACACAGCAUGGGUGAGUCAUUUAAACUUGAUCGCGAGUAAAAUAAUAAAAGCAACGGAAUUUUGAUGCUUGAAUGGAUCAAAUUAUGUUAGGAGGCAUCUAGAAGCACAAAGGAAUUCAAAAAACCACAUGUCAAAACAUGUGAAAAUUUCCAAAAACCUGUGUGCUAUAUGCAAGGGGUUCCGGCCCAAAUCGGGCGAAACUUGAAAAAAUGGGUAAUAUGUAACUGUUUCUGAAAAUAUAGGUUCCCGAGGUCACUAAGAGGAUAAAUUAAUAAAAAACAAGCUUGGAAGCUCACUCCAUUUCUCUGAAAACCACACUUUCCGCAGCUUUACAAAACACGGAACGCGUCAGUUAUUUAAGCUCGAUCGUGAGUAAAAUAAUAAAAUCAAUGGAUUUUUGAUGCUAGAAUGGUACACAAUUUGUUAGGAGGCGUCUAGAAGCACAGAGGAAUUCAAAAAACCACAUGUCAAAACAAGUGAAAUUUUCCAAAAACCUGUGUUAUAGGAAGGGGUUUCGGCCCAAAUCGGGCGAAACUUGAAAGAAUGGGUAAUACAUAACUAUUUUUGAAAAUAAAUAUAGGUUCCCGAGAUCAUUAAGAGAAUAAACUAAGAGAAAAUAAAGCGGGCCAAGACAGCCCAAGGCGGGUCAAGGCGACCGCUUAGCGGGUCAAGGUAGGUCAAGGCGGCCCUCGGCCCUAGGAGGGUCAAGGCGGCCCCUUGGUUGCCUUAGACGGGUGAACGCGACCCCUUGGCGGGCCUAGGAGGGUCAAGGCAGCCCCUUGGCGAUCUUAGACUGGUGAACGCGUCCCCUUGGCGGCCCUAACAGGGUCAAAGCGGCCUCUUGGCGGCCCUAGGAGGGUCAAAGCGGCCCCUUGGAAGGUCGAUGCGGCCCUUUGACGACCUUAGAUGGGUCAAGGCGGCCCCUUGGAGGGUCUAGGAGGAUCAAGGCGGGUCAAAGAGGCCCAUGGCUGGCCAAGGCGGGUUAAGGCGGCCCUAGAUGGGUUAAGGCGGCCUCUUGGCGACCCAAGACGGGUCAAGACGACCCAUGGCGGGACCAGGCGACCAAUUGGCGGCCCUAAAUGGGUCAAGGUGGGCUCUUGGCGGCCCUAGGAGGGUCAAUGCGGCCCCUUGGUGGCCUUAGGCGGGUUAAGGCAGGUCCAGGAGGCACCUUGAAGGGUCAAGGCAACCAAUUGGCGGCCCUAAAUGGGUUAAGGUGGCCUCUUGGCGGCCCUAGGAGGGUCAAUGUGGCCGCUUGGUGGCCUUAGGCGGGUCCAGGCGGCACCUUGUAAGGUCUAGGAGGGUUAAGGAGGGUCAAGGCGAGUUAAAGCGGGUCCAGACGGUUCAAGGCGGCCCAAAGCGGGUCAAGGCGGCCCAAGAGGGUCAAGGUGGCCUAAGGCGGGUCAGGACGGCCCAUGAAGGGCCAAGGCGGCCCCUUGGCGGCCCUAAAUGGGUUAAGGUUGCCCUAAAUGGGUUAAGGUGGCCCUAAGAGGGUCAAGGCUGCCCUAAGAGGGUCAAAGCGUCCCCUUGGUGGCCCUAGGCGAGCCUAGGAAUGUCAUGGCAGCCCUGGGCAGGUCAAGACGGCCCCUUGGUGCCCCUAAAUGGGUCUACGAGGGUCUAGACAACCCCUUAGCGGCCCUAGCCGGGUCAAAGCUGCCCCUUGGCGAUUUAAGGCGGCCCUUUGGUGGCGGUCAAGGCGGGCCUAGGAGGGUCAAGGCAGCCAUGUGCGGGUCAAGACGGCUCCUUGGAGGGUCUAGAAUGGUCAAGGCGGCUCAUGGCGGGUGAAGGCUUCCCUGGGCGGGUGAAGGUGGGUCAUGGCAUCCCUGGGCGGGUCAAGGCGGCUCUUUAGUGCCUCUAGAUGGGACUAGAUGGGUCUAGGAGGGUCUAGGCGGCCCCUUGGCGGGUUAAGACGGCCCCUUGGUAGAUCUUGUCGGGCUUAGGAGGGUCAAGGUGACCCAGGCGGGUCAAGGAGGCCCAUGGCGGGCCUAGAUGGGUUAAGGCGGCCUCUUGGCGGCCCUUGGAGGGUUAAGGCAGGUCAAGGCGGCCCAAGGAGGUCAAGGCGGGUCAAGGCGGGUUAAGGGGGGUUAAGGCAGCCCAAGGAGGGUAAAAGCGGCCCCAUGGCAGCCCUAGACGGGUAAAGGCGGCCGUAGGCGGGUUAAGGCGGCUCCUUGGAGAGUCUAGGAGGUCCAAGGCGGGUCAAGGCGGCCCCUAGAUGGAUUAAGGCCACCUCUUCGCGCCCGAAGGAGGGUCAAGGCAGCUAAGGCAGCCCAAAGCNNNNNNNNNNNNNNNNNNNNUCUUGGCUGCAUUAUGAGGGGUCAAUGUGGCCCUAAAAUGGGGUUAAGGUGGCCACUUGGCGUCCCUAUGAGGGUCAAGGUGUCCCCUUGCCUAGGAGUGUCAAGGUAGCCCUAGGCGGGUCAAGGCGGCCCA
rnacentral:lncRNA from 1 species